rnacentral:lncRNA from 1 species
GGCCACGUGGGCGAUCCGCGUACGCGCGAUCGGACGGCCCAAAUCCGUUCCCGCGCGCACGGACGGCCCAGAUCAAAUGUGCGCACAGAUGGCCCAGAUUUCACACGUACGGAUGGCCCAGAUUCAUUCAGGCACGGACGACCCAGAUCGUAUCGCGAUGGAUAGCCCAAAUUUAAUUCCAAAUAAAUCGCGAUCGGACGGUCCAUAUUUAAUCUUGAUGGACAGUUGAGAUUAAAAGGCAAAGGGUAUAAAUAACCCCAUCCACACCUGACCACAAAACCCUAGCUGCCAGUGCCUCGCCGGAGAAGAAGAAUCAAACGCUGGAGGAGCCGGCCGCCGUCACCCGCCGCCGCACCGGAGAAUUUUCUGACCGCCAAUCGAGGUAAAUUUUCUCCCCUGGCUCGUUUUUUG